UACGGAGGAUGCAAGCGUUAUCCGGAAUUAUUGGGCGUAAAGCGUCCGCAGGUGGCACUUCAAGUCUGCUGUCAAAGACCGGGGCUUAACCCUGGAAAGGCAGUGGAAACUGAAGCGCUAGAGUGUGGCAGGGGUAGAGGGAAUUCCCGGUGUAGCGGUGAAAUGCGUAGAGAUCGGGAAGAACACCCGUGGCGAAGGCGGCUCUCUGGGACGGUACUGACGCUGAGACGCGAAAGCGUGGGGAGCGAACAGG
rnacentral:rRNA from 1 species